CUCUCCAUUAGCUCAACUUUUCUUAGGGAUUCUUCAAAUUGUCACUUUCAAAUCUGUUAAAUCGCUUCUCAUUUCACAAAAUGUGAACUCUAUUUAGAUUCAAGUGUUUUGAAGUUUUAAGGCAAAAGGAUCUCGAAAAUCUACAGAAAUCAGAAGUUGCUGGAAGGUUUUAAGAAGAAAGGUUCGAAGUUUGAUUAUCACUACAAGAUUUUGAUGUUUUCGAAGUUUUGAAGUUGUUCAAAGGCUUGUAAGGUCAUUUUCCAAUCAAUCUUGGCCGGAUUGUGGUCUACAUCUUUCUAGCAAACUUUGAUAUUUGUGUGUUCUUUGAUUUUCAACAUUAGGUACGCCAUAGCAAGAUCACUACUCAUUUAAUUUUCAAUUCUAGUCAUAGCCUCAUUAUUGAUAUUUUUUACUUUAUUUAUCCAGAUUUC